rnacentral:lncRNA from 1 species
UUGUAAUGGAUAUUUUCAUUGUUGUUUUUUCUCAUUCUGUAAAAGCAAAAAUAAACUUUUAUAAUGAAUGUUUUGAUUACAUUUUUCAUUUUAUAGAAGAUACAAUAGAUAGGGUUCUUUUUUUUAUAAUGACUAGUUCGAUUACAUGUGUUAUUCACUUUGCCCGGGUACCCCGGGCAAAACGAAUAAUGCACAACAUUUCUUUGCUCUGCAGAUAUUGCAAAUUCUAAACGGAAUUUAUUCUCAAAGAAUGUUCAGCAUUAAACAAUAGGAAGUAAUGUAACAAAUAAACAAUAAAACAUUUAUCUUUAUAUAAUUUUUAUGUUUGAAAUUAUGCAUGAAAAUUAAGCUAUUCACUUUGCCCGGACUUCCCCUACAAUAGGCAAUAUGAUCAAUAGGAA